rnacentral:rRNA from 1 species
CACGUAGGGCGCAAGCGUUGUCCGGAAUUACUGGGCGUAAAGCGUGCGUAGGUGGUUUGUUAAGUCUGAUGUGAAAGCCCUGGGCUCAACCUGGGAAUUGCAUUGGAUACUGGCAGGCUAGAGUGCGGUAGAGGGUAGUGGAAUUCCCGGUGUAGCAGUGAAAUGCGUAGAGAUCGGGAGGAACAUCCGUGGCGAAGGCGACUACCUGGACCAGCACUGACACUGAGGCACGAAAGCGUGGGGAGCAAACAGG